rnacentral:rRNA from 1 species
GCAAGUCGAACGAGAUCUUCGGAUCUAGUGGCGCACGGGUGCGUAACGCGUGGGAAUCUGCCCUUGGGUUCGGAAUAACUUCUGGAAACGGAAGCUAAUACCGGAUGAUGACGUAAGUCCAAAGAUUUAUCGCCCAAGGAUGAGCCCGCGUAGGAUUAGCUAGUUGGUGGGGUAAAGGCUCACCAAGGCGACGAUCCUUAGCUGGUCUGAGAGGAUGAUCAGCCACACUGGGACUGAGACACGGCCCAGACUCCUACGGGAGGCAGCAGUAGGGAAUAUUGGACAAUGGGCGAAAGCCUGAUCCAGCAAUGCCGCGUGAGUGAUGAAGGCCUUAGGGUUGUAAAGCUCUUUUACCCGGGAUGAUAAUGACAGUACCGGGAGAAUAAGCUCCGGCUAACUCCGUGCCAGCAGCCGCGGUAAUACGGAGGGAGCUAGCGUUGUUCGGAAUUACUGGGCGUAAAGCGCACGUAGGCGGCUAUUCAAGUCAGAGGUGAAAGCCCGGGGCUCAACCCCGGAACUGCCUUUGAAACUAGAUAGCUUGAAUCCAGGAGAGGUGAGUGGAAUUCCGAGUGUAGAGGUGAAAUUCGUAGAUAUUCGGAAGAACACCAGUGGCGAAGGCGGCUCACUGGA